AGUCGAGCGGAGAUGAGGUGCUUGCACCUUAUCUUAGCGGCGGACGGGUGAGUAAUGCUUAGGAAUCUGCCUAUUAGUGGGGGACAACAUUCCGAAAGGAAUGCUAAUACCGCAUACGUCCUACGGGAGAAAGCAGGGGAUCUUCGGACCUUGCGCUAAUAGAUGAGCCUAAGUCGGAUUAGCUAGUUGGUGGGGUAAAGGCCUACCAAGGCGACGAUCUGUAGCGGGUCUGAGAGGAUGAUCCGCCACACUGGGACUGAGACACGGCCCAGACUCCUACGGGAGGCAGCAGUGGNNAAUAUUGGACAAUGGGGGGAACCCUGAUCCAGCCAUGCCGCGUGUGUGAAGAAGGCCUUAUGGUUGUAAAGCACUUUAAGCGAGGAGGAGGCUACUGAGACUAAUACUCUUGGAUAGUGGACGUUACUCGCAGAAUAAGCACCGGCUAACUCUGUGCCAGCA
rnacentral:rRNA from 1 species